rnacentral:lncRNA from 1 species
CAACACUUGUAAGAUGUGUCACUAAACUAUGUUUUUACACAAUGGAGUGAAAGUUGUCUUUGUAAUACACAAGCCUCGAUGUCAAAUUUUUAGGUUUAUUAAACUAGUGCAAUUCUCCUGUCUACCUUUAGUAGUUAACAAAUUUGAUCAUCUAUCUAAUUAUUUGAGAUGUAUGAAAAAAGAGUAGUGCAUAAUCAUUUACUCUCUAUUUGAUACGAAGGAUGGAUUGAAGAAAAGAUGGAUGGAGGAGAAAGAAUGGAUGACGGAAGGGAUGGAUGGAUCUUCCAUCCAUCCUUUCAUAUGUUUGGUUAAACAUUGAAGGAUGGAUAAAAAUAAUCUCCUCUUAUGUUUGAUAUAGAUGGAAUGAAAGGAAGGAUGGAUGAUAUUUAUAUAACAUUUUUACUAGACUAUCUUUGGAUAAAAAUAUUAUUAUUAUCAAU